rnacentral:hammerhead_ribozyme from 1 species
AUUCAGCUGAUGUGUAGCAAAUAGGACGAAACGUGCGUCCUGGAU